rnacentral:rRNA from 1 species
CCUACGGGAGGCAGCAGUGGGGAAUAUUGGACAAUGGGCGAAAGCCUGAUCCAGCAAUGCCGCGUGAGUGAUGAAGGCCUUCGGGUCGUAAAGCUCUUUUACCAGGGAUGAUAAUGACAGUACCUGGAGAAUAAGCUCCGGCUAACUCCGUGCCAGCAGCCGCGGUAAUACGGAGGGAGCUAGCGUUGUUCGGAAUUACUGGGCGUAAAGAGUACGUAGGCGGUUAUUCAAGCCAGAGGUGAAAGCCCGGGGCUCAACCCCGGAACUGCCUUUGAAACUAGAUAACUAGAGUCUUGGAGAGGUUAGUGGAAUUCCGAGUGUAGAGGUGAAAUUCGUAGAUAUUCGGAAGAACACCAGUGGCGAAGGCGACUAACUGGACAAGUACUGACGCUGAGGUACGAAAGCGUGGGGAGCAAACAGGAUUAGAUACCCUGGUAGUCCACGCCGUAAACGAUGAUAACUAGUUGUUCGGUCACUUGGUGACUGAGUGACGCAGCUAACGCAUUAAGUUAUCCGCCUGGGGAGUACGGUCGCAAGAUUAAAACUUAAAGGAAUUGACGG